GAUCAUGGCUCAGGAUGAACGCUAGCGACAGGCUUAACACAUGCAAGUCGAGGGCAUCACGGGAGUAGCAAUACAACUGGUGGCGACCGGCGCACGGGUGAGUAACGCGUAUGCAACCUACCUAUCAGAGGGGAAUAACCCGGCGAACGUCGGACUAAUACCGCAUAAAACAGGGGCACCGCAUAGUGAUAUUUGUUAAAGAAAUUCGCUGAUAGAUGGGCAUGCGUUCCAUUAGGUAGUUGGUGAGGUAACGGCUCACCAAGCCGACGAUGGAUAGGGGAACUGAGAGGUUGGUCCCCCACACUGGUACUGAGACACGGACCAGACUCCUACGGGAGGCAGCAGUGAGGAAUAUUGGUCAAUGGGCGGGAGCCUGAACCAGCCAAGUCGCGUGAAAGGAAGAAGGAUCUAUGGUUCGUAAACUUCUUUUGUCAGGGGAAGUAAAGUGCAGGACGUGUCCUGUUUUGUAUGUACCCUGAGAAUAAGGAUCGGCUAACUCCGUGCCAGCCGCUGC
rnacentral:rRNA from 1 species